GAUGAACGCUGGCGGCGUGCCUAAUACAUGCAAGUCGAGCGAACAGACGAGGAGCUUGUGCCUCUGACGUUAGCGGCGGACGGGUGAGUAACACGUGGAUAACCUACCUAUAAGACUGGGAUAACUUCGGGAAACCGGAUCUAAUACCAGAUAAUAUAUUGAACCGCAUGGUGCAAUAGUGAAAGACGGCUUUGCUGUCACUUAUAGAUGGUUCCGCGCCGCAUUAGCUAGUUGGUAAGGUAACGGCUUACCAAGGCAACGAUGCGUAGCCGACCUGAGAGGGUGAUCGGCCACACUGGAACUGAGACACGGUCCAGACUCCUACGGGAGGCAGCAGUAGGGAAUCUUCCGCAAAGGGCGAAAGCUUGACGGAGCAACGCCGCGUGAGUGAUGAAGGUCUUCGGAUCGUAAAACUCUGUUAUUAGGGAAGAACAAAUGUGUAAGUAACUAUGCACGUCUUGACGGUACCUAAUCAGAAAGCCACGGCUAACUACGUG
rnacentral:rRNA from 1 species